GGGUAGUAUGGUUGCAAAGCUGAAACUUAAAGAAAUUGACGGAAUGGCAUCACCAGGAGUGGAGCCUGAGGCUUAAUUUGACUCAACACGGGGAAACUCACCCGGCCCGGACACCGUAAGGAUUGACAGAUUGAAAGCUCUUUCUCGAUUUGGCCCUGUGAUGUCUCGUCUUCUCUGGACGGCCCUUGAAAAACCAAGGAAGGCUAUUAAUCUGGAGGACUGGGAUUGACGGGGGUGUGCAAUGGGCUAAACUGGGCUCUGCCUGGGAAAGCCUCAGAAGCGCACAAGACCCCAAAAGAACGGUGUCAGCUCUGAAAGCUGCGUAUGCGAAACUGUCUAAGAGAACUAGGCAGAAUGACCAUACCGCAGACUCUGAUGGGUUAGCUGACCUUGGAAUACCGAGCACUCAAAGCUGUCCGCAAGCGGACAGUCAAAUGGGAGCUCACGUAAGUCAGCAAAAUGAAGACCUCGGAAACGAGGUUUCUCUUCUACA
rnacentral:ncRNA from 1 species